ACACUCCUGCGGGAGGCAGCAGUGGGGAAUAUUGCACAAUGGGCGCAAGCCUGAUGCAGCCAUGCCGCGUGUAUGAAGAAGGCCUUCGGGUUGUAAAGUACUUUCAGCGGGGAGGAAGGCGAUAAGGUUAAUAACCUUGUUGAUUGACGUUACCCGCAGAAGAAGCACCGGCUAACUCCGUGCCAGCAGCCGCGGUAAUACGGAGGGUGCAAGCGUUAAUCGGAAUUACUGGGCGUAAAGCGCACGCAGGCGGUCUGUCAAGUCGGAUGUGAAAUCCCCGGGCUCAACCUGGGAACUGCAUUCGAAACUGGCAGGCUAGAGUCUUGUAGAGGGGGGUAGAAUUCCAGGUGUAGCGGUGAAAUGCGUAGAGAUCUGGAGGAAUACCGGUGGCGAAGGCGGCCCCCUGGACAAAGACUGACGCUCAGGUGCGAAAGCGGGGGGAGCAAACAGGAUUAGAUACCCGUGUAGUCCCAUGAU
rnacentral:rRNA from 1 species